CCGGUUGCUACCGCUGCUGGAAAGGCAGUUCCAGGCGCGGCCACCUCUGCGGGCCCGGCUGGAGAGCCCCGGCGUUGGCGAAUCUGGGAACCGACGUCCGCGCGCCGCUGGCUGGAAUGCGCCCGGCUCGCCUCCGCGGCGCUGUGAGUCCCCGAGAGGAGGCUGGCGGUCUCUGGGCGUUCUUCCUCGCACCCAGGCCCUUCGCUGUCCUUGUCGAGAUUGAUUUCUCUUGCCUACCCGCCCUCGCCCACCCUGAUCCGGGCUGGGAGUGGUCCCUCAGCAAAGCCAGACGGAUAUUUAGCAGUGAUACCGGCAGGCGCCUGGUCCCCGGCUCAGAAUCUGUCAGCCUCAAACAUUCAUUGACAACCUACGAUGGCCUGGCACAGAGCUGAGAACCUCCAGGGGUGUCAGAGACGAACCAGAACAUCUUCCAGGGAGGCCUUCACCUUGACCCCAUAUUCGAGCUUUCACCUUGACCCCACAUUCAGAGAGCUCUCAAAUGCCUUACGGUGACUUCCAGUCUGGGCUUGCAGUGUGAUUAUAGAAACCCGACGCACAGGUUUGUUGGAAAACAGUAGAGCUGAGGCCCAGAAGUCGCUCACUAUGAGAUAGUUGUGCUGCACUGUGGAUUACACUUGUAUUCCCAGCACCCGUGACGGUCACUCACACGCGGUAGUGCGUCUUCAGCCACCGUGUGUCCAGCUGAAUUCAGUUGGCCACAUGCUCCGUACGGCCCUAAAUCAGAGAACACAGUAGAGACCCAGCCGGGCCCUGAGUAACACAGGUUGCAGCCUUCUCCCUGCCCGUGCCCCUCAUCCGAGCACUCCACCCCCCCCAGCCCUCGCUGCGGACCUCACCCGUGAGUGGAAGGGCAGUGAUGCCAGUUGCCCCUGAUCUGAAAUGCGCUUGCAAGUUUUGCUCCUACGACACUGCUCUGCUGGGAGUGGAGGUCAGUGAUAUGCCUCAGAUUGAAGCUUCUCUGGUCCAUCAAACAAAUCGCAGUGCUCCUUUGUGGGUUCCCUUCGGCUCCAUUCACUGCGGUGCGUGGACGUUUCUGUGCCUGGGAAAUGGCUCCCCAAGAGCUGGUGGCGUUAUCAGCCCCUGGGGAACCCCCAUCACAGAGGAGCCUGGCUGACCUUCCCCGGGGCUCAGAGUGGGACUCCAACACAGAGAUGGGGACCGGUGGAGAGUGGGCAUCCUGGAAUUCUUCCUGGAGGAGGAAAAUGGGGAGAGCUAGGCUGAGAAAAGGGGUGACAGGUUUCACGGGGAGUCUCAUUGCGCCAAGCUCUUUAUGUAGAUUGCGACCUUUAUUUUUCAGGAGGAGCCUGUGAAGUCAGUCCUGUAAUCUGCUUUUCCAGAAGGAAGCAAAGGCCCGGACUGACAAAGCGACAUGCCCGAGGUCACACCAUUCCAGAGGGGAGCAGGAUUCUAGUCCUGAUCUGCUGGGCUCUGAGGGGAGGGCCAGGCCGAGGAUGGUGGGAGAAUUCCAGACUCUGGCCAGCUGCCCCUGCAUCCAGGGAGGCUGUGGGUGGGGUGGAAACAGCCACCAGAAGCCAGGGGCACGCGGCAAACAAGGGUGCCAGGAAAUGAACCGGACCCAGGGUCCUUCCUCCCGGCCCGCCCUGUGCCCCUGGCCAACUGCCACCUCCCUUUGAGGCUUCUCCCUGCAAGAGAACAGAGAAAGCUGGGCCAGAGCCCAGGGAUGGCCCUACACGGGGGGAGAGGGGGGACCAGGAGGGUCUUGAAGCCCAGGAGGAGCCCUGCCAGGCCUAAGCGCCCCCUGUCCUGGGAAGAGAGAUAGAGAUCCAAGGGGUCUCAUCCUGUUUGUCUCAGAUGGAGCUCAGACUGGGGCCUCGCACAGAGAAGGCGCUCAAUAAAUGUGUGUCGAAAGGAGGUACAGCAGGUGUGCCGUCCAAACUGCGAGGCUGGAGGCGAAGAGGCCGGGUCCGGACACGGUUUCUGCCCCCGCCUCGUGACCCUGGACGAGUCUCAGAACGUCCCUAUCCGUCAGAUCAAGCUGUUAUCCUGGAAUGUGCACCAUCGCUUGGGUCCCUUCCAGCUCUGACAGUGCAGUUCUAUUCAUUCUUUUACUCACUUGCUAAUUUGUUGUCUCAGCGAAAUACAUCGUGGAGCCCGAGAAAUAUACUUUGGUACUAAUGAGGCAGUGGGCAGAGUGGCGGCAAUCGGCAAAGCUUGUGGGGGGAUAGUGACGGGUCCCCCUCUUGAGCAGGGACUCUGGGGUCAGAUGGCCUGGGUUCAGAUUCUCCCUCCAUGACCUGCUCACUGAGUAACCCUGGGCAAGUUACUUACUCACGUUGAACUUGGACUUCCUCAUCUGUAAGAUGGAGAUGAUAGGAGGAUAUACUUCAUAGGGUGUAAAAAUUAAAUGGGAUAAUACAAAUAACUUGCUUAGGGAAAUAGUACACAGCAGGCACCCAACAAGUCUUAGCUCUUCCCGUUCCUUAGAAGGCGAGCGAACUCCAGCAGACAAAGGGGGCUGCUGUGUGGGUGCAGGGGUAGGGGUGGGGGGAAGCAUCAGAACAGCAUGUGCUUAGAUACAGAGGCGGGAAAAUCCAGUACUGCCGAGGAGCACCAAGAGACCCGUCCAGACUAAGUGGGAAGAGGUAAGUUGGGCGCAGAUGGUGAGCGGCUUUGGUCAGGCUGAGAAACUUGGAUCUGAUCCUGUAGGUUGGCAUUUCCCAACUGCUGCUCCCCAGAAUUCCAUGAGCUGUUACUGGAUGUUUUAUAAAUAUUUCAGGGCACCCGGGUGGCUCAGUCAAUUAAGCGUCCGACUCGGGCUCAGGUCAUGAUCUCGUGGUACGCGAGUUCGA